rnacentral:tRNA from 1 species
GGUAGUAUGGCUGAAAGAAGCGGUAGGCUGUAAACCUACAUAUAGGACGAGGUCCUUACUGCCA